GCGGUGCGGGGGUGGCGGCCCGAGAUUGGAGCCAGUGGGGUUUCGGUUACGCGCUGCGGGAGGCAGGCGGGGGGGGAGGGGACGAGGAGCCGCCCGCCGCUAUGGAGCCCGACUCCGUGAUCGAGGACAAGACUAUCGAGCUGAUGUGUUCUGUGCCAAGGUCUUUGUGGCUAGGCUGCUCCAACCUGGUAGAGAGCAUGUGCGCACUGAGAUGCCUGCAGAGCAUGCCCAGUGUCAGAUGUCUCCAGAACACAUCAGUAAUGGAGGAUCAGAAUGAAGAUGAAUCUCCAAAGAAAAAUACCCUAUGGCAGAUAAGUAAUGGAACUUCAUCCGUGAUAGUCUCAAGGAAGCGACCAUCGGAAGGAAACUACGAAAAGGAAAAAGACUUGUGUAUUAAAUAUUUUGACCAGUGGUCUGAAUCAGAUCAGGUUGAAUUUGUGGAACACCUUAUUUCACGAAUGUGUCACUAUCAGCAUGGACAUAUUAACUCUUAUUUGAAGCCCAUGUUACAACGGGACUUCAUCACUGCAUUACCAGAGCAAGGCUUAGAUCACAUAGCAGAAAAUAUCCUUUCCUAUCUUGAUGCCAGAUCGCUCUGUGCAGCAGAGCUGGUGUGUAAGGAAUGGCAGAGAGUCAUCUCUGAGGGAAUGCUAUGGAAAAAAUUGAUUGAGAGAAUGGUGCGCACUGAUCCACUGUGGAAAGGGCUCUCUGAAAGAAGGGGUUGGGAUCAGUACCUGUUUAAAAACAGACCCACAGAUGGCCCACCAAAUUCAUUUUACAGGUCAUUAUACCCAAAGAUAAUACAGGAUAUAGAGACUAUAGAAUCUAACUGGCGAUGUGGACGACACAACUUGCAAAGAAUUCAGUGCCGCUCUGAAAAUAGCAAAGGUGUCUACUGUUUACAGUAUGAUGAUGAAAAGAUCAUCAGUGGCUUACGGGAUAACUCCAUCAAGAUUUGGGAUAAAACAAGUUUGGAAUGUUUGAAAAUAUUAACAGGGCACACUGGCUCUGUUCUCUGCCUGCAGUAUGACGAGAGAGUCAUUGUAACUGGAUCUUCGGACUCUACAGUGAGAGUUUGGGAUGUAAACACAGGCGAAGUUCUGAACACACUGAUUCAUCACAACGAGGCAGUGCUUCAUCUGCGUUUCAGUAAUGGCUUAAUGGUGACAUGUUCAAAGGACAGGUCCAUUGCUGUUUGGGAUAUGGCAUCACCUACUGAUAUCACUUUGCGUCGUGUGUUGGUUGGCCAUCGUGCUGCUGUUAAUGUUGUAGACUUUGAUGACAAGUAUAUUGUCUCUGCAUCAGGUGACAGGACCAUUAAAGUCUGGAGUACAAGCACAUGUGAAUUUGUUCGUACUCUAAAUGGGCACAAGCGUGGCAUUGCAUGCCUUCAGUACAGGGAUCGACUAGUUGUGAGUGGAUCAUCAGACAACACCAUUAGGUUAUGGGAUAUUGAAUGUGGGGCCUGUUUAAGAGUACUAGAAGGCCAUGAAGAACUGGUUCGAUGCAUCAGAUUUGAUAACAAGAGAAUUGUUAGUGGAGCCUAUGAUGGCAAAAUUAAAGUUUGGGACUUGCAAGCUGCUCUUGACCCUCGUGCCCCAGCCAGCACACUAUGCUUGCGUACAUUGGUGGAACAUUCAGGACGUGUGUUUAGACUCCAGUUUGAUGAAUUUCAGAUCAUUAGUAGUUCCCACGAUGACACAAUUCUGAUUUGGGAUUUCUUAAAUGUGCCACCCAGUGCCCAGAAUGAGACACGCUCUCCAUCCAGAACAUACACUUACAUCUCCAGAUAACAGUCUGCACUUUACUAGCCUCAUAAGCAUCAGCAGUAAAACAGCCAUUUCCCUGCAUUUUGUUCAGGACUACAGAAGUAGGCUUCAGGGUACUCAGCAUGUGUUCAACAUUUCAAUAUUAGCCUUUAUUUCUGGAACACUGAACUCUUUGGCUAGGAGGAGCAUCAAAUGAGUACUGCAAUCAUAUGUUAUUAGCUUGGAUACAUUUCUUCUCAUCUUGGAUACAUUUGAAGCAUUGUCUGUGACACAGCUGCAUACUAGACAUUUGAAUUUCUUUUCACAGUUUGUUACAGCCUUUUCUGCUACUUCUUAGUUCCACAGUCUUGAACUACUGGAUAUCUGGCUACUACAUGCCUGAAGAUGUUGAUUCACAGCUAAAGUCAGAAUUGGUGAUAGAUGCUGUGUAGAUGCAAAGCAGCGCAAUUCUGUAUCUCUCUUAAUCUUUCCUGCUCCCUUUCAUUCCCCAGAGGUCUCCUCUAAGGAAUUUACUACAAAUUCACUGACUUCAAGUAGAUGAAAAUCAGAAGCCUGUUCUUCACCACAGUGAAAAAUCCAAAGCUUCAUAUGUAAAUUGUCCAUAUAAACUGAACUAUGAUGGCUUGUUUUCCAGAAAUAAAUCAGAAGACAAGAAAGGACUUAGCCUAAUUUAUAUUGCUUUGCACUUUUGUCUGACUUUAAAGAAAAAUAUUCUGCAGUGAAAUUUGGGUGCCAAACACAUACCCAGAAUGUACAGAGUUUUUGCUUUCAAAGUCACCAUGCUCCUUUAGACUUCAUGACAAAUUCAGAGCCUGUUUUGUUUGAUAGGGGUGUACGUUGGACUAUUAGAAAUAUUUCUGAAUGGAUCAGUAAUAUUUUUGGAUUACAGUUUACUUGUUUCUGCACCAAUACUUUCUUUUAAUUUAAACAUUACCUGUAAAUCAGGCUACAUUAUCUAAACUAGUUGUAUAGCACCGUCUUUUUUUUUCUUUUAACUGUGCCCUGUAAUACAACCAUCCUACUUUUCCUAACGUUUGGUAUAGUAAAAUCUUUCCAUGUGUGCUUGCCUCAUAAUUUCAAAUACUGUAUAAGCAUGUCGAUAUAAUGUACAUAACAGUUUAACCUCCAGGUGCUAGAAGUCAGGAUCUCCUGACACUACACACUAAUACAAAAUGUGUUAGCACUUGGCAGCAGGACAUUCUAACUACUGGCACUGAAGGGAUUAAUAUGAAUUACAUAGAAAUAUUUCUUUGCAAAAGGAAGUUUUCAGUAUUCAUUAGGAUUUUUUUUAAUGGGAACUACAUAUUUUAAAAUGUAAUUUCUAACCUUUUUAAAAAUUAAAGUUUAAUUUAUGUUCUGUAUCUUAUAUUUUGUGCCGCAGUAUUUACAAAACAUUUUUUUUAAUUAGUAGGUUGCCACACAUGCCUACAGAUGUCCUUCCACAGCAUUCGUUUGGCUGCUCAAUGGAAAAAAUGCCAUCAGCCCAAGUUACAUUUAUUUAAAUAUGUAACUUGUAACAACUGAGGCGAGGUAGAAGCCCCUUCAAGGAAGUACUGUGAUGACCAGAUUUAAAGUUGAAUUUAAGAUCACUUACCCAUAGCUGUUACACCAUGACCUUGUUGUGAUGCCAUGGUCAAUGUUUCUCUUCAUUAGCAUGUCCUUAUUAGGAAAUGUCUUAGUAGUUCCUUCUUACGUUGUCGUGGUUCUUCUGUUUCUAAUUUAUACAGUCACAUUUAUUUAAUCAUAUUUCUCUUUGUGAAAGCAAGACCCAGAUAAAUGCCGUCUUUAUAGUAUUGUCCUAUUAAGUUGCCAUGUAGGACUGCAGUUUUCAGUAGUUUUCUUUAAUGCUUAGUUUGAAAAUGCACUAAAACCAAGAGUGUGUAAGAUAUACCUAUUGUCCUGGGGGAGAAAUAUGUUGUCACAGAUAUGUAGCCAGUCAUUUCUCUAUCGUCAUUUGUUGUGUAUUUCGUCUUCUGUUGGCAGCACUUUUUGGUUUCAGAUUUUCCCUUUUUUGGUUGAGGGGAGUUACAGAAUGUCAGUGAUACUUUAGAUGACCAGUGAUUUAAUACUAAACUUCCAGUGCAACAGCUAUGGUUAGAUGUCAUCCACCUUCAUGUCAGGCAAAUUCAGAAUGAAGCACACAUCAGAUGUUACUGAAAUGUCAGAGUGCAACUUAGUUAGUCCUCUAUUCCAUUGAGAGAGAGGUGUUGGGAUCAGUGUUUGUUAGGAAAUUCCCUUUAACUUGUUACUACAAAGAUAUUUAUUUCUUCGAGAUGAUCAAACCUCAUGAAGUACAGAAGAUAUCAUGUUUCGAUAAGCGUCUGUAAGAUCACAUUUUGGUAAGCUUGGCAGUAGUUUGUGAAAGUGGCUUACUUUACCCUUUUCAUCUAAUAGCUUUAAUAUUAAACUGUUUUUAAAAAAAAGACAUCCGUUGCAGCCCUGAAGAAAUAGCUAUUUGUUUGUGAAGAAUGGAGUCCCUUUUUAUGCAUGUGUAAGAUUAAAUUCAUGUUUUUCCUUGGGAGAUAAUGGUAUUUGAACAUGCAGUCUCACCUUCUUUGAUUGUGCUUUGUGUAACAUAGCAGUGGACUUUGUGAUUGGCACCCAAGGAACUUGGCUCCUGGGACUCCUGGCUGCACUCUGGACUUUGUUUUGCUAACCAUAAUUGAGCAAUUGUACAUUACUGCUAUAUUAAUGUUUCAAAGCACUGGGAUAGUCUAAUUCUAACUUGUAAUUAUGUUUGCCAAUGACCCGUUUGGAAAGUUUGUGUAUGAACAGCGAUUGAAACUGUUAAAUUGUACAGAUAUUGUUCACGAUCUAAAGCUUUGUACCGUGGAAUGUGCUUAAUAAAAAAAUUGAACUUCA